AACGUACGCUGGCGGCACGCCUAACACAUGCAAGUCGAACGAAGUAGCAAUACUUAGUGGCAGACGGGUGAGUAACAUGUAGGUAUCUGCCCUUUGGCCUGGAAUAACACGAGGAAACUUGUGCUAAUACCGGAUAAGUCUUUACGGAGAAAGCUUUAUGCACCAUUGGAUGAGCCUGCACUUGAUUAGUUUGUUGGUAGGGUAAUGGCCUACCAAGACUGUGAUCAAUAGCUGAUUUGAGAGGAUGAUCAGCCACAUUGGGACUGAGACACGGCCCAAACUCCUACGGGAGGCAGCAGUGGGGAAUCUUGCACAAUGGAGGAAACUCUGAUGCAGCGAUGCCGCGUGAGUGAAGAAGGCCCUUGGGUUGUAAAGCUCUUUCGUCGGGGAAGAAAAUGACUGUACCCGAAUAAGAAGGUCCGGCUAACUUCGUGCCAGCAGCCGCGGUAAUACGAAGGGACCUAGCGUAGUUCGGAAUUACUGGGCUUAAAGAGUUCGUAGGUGGUUGAAAAAGUUAGUGGUGAAAUCCCAGAGCUUAACUCUGGAACUGCCAUUAAAACUUUUCAGCUAGAGUAUGAUAGAGGAAAGCAGAAUUUCUAGUGUAGAGGUGAAAUUCGUAGAUAUUAGAAAGAAUACCAAUUGCGAAGGCAGCUUUCUGGAUCAUUACUGACACUGAGGAACGAAAGCAUGGGUAGCGAAGAGGAUUAGAUACCCUCGUAGUCCAUGCCGUAAACGAUGUGUGUUAGACGUUGGAAAUUUAUUUUCAGUGUCGCAGGGAAACCGAUAAACACACCGCCUGGGGAGUACGACCGCAAGGUUAAAACUCAAAUGAAUUGACGGGGACCCGCACAAGUAGUGGAGCAUGUGGUUUAAUUCGAAGAUACGCGCAGAACCUUACCAACACUUGACAUGUUCGUCGCGACUCUAAGAGAUUAGAGUUUUCGGUUCGGCCGGACGAAACACAGGUGCUGCAUGGCUGUCGUCAGCUCGUGUCGUGAGAUGUUGGGUUAAGUCCCGCAACGAGCGCAACCCUCACUUUUAGUUGCCAUCAUUAAGUUGGGCACUCUGAAAGAACUGCCAGUGAUAAGCUGGAGGAAGGUGGGGAUGACGUCAAGUCCUCAUGGCCCUUACGUGUUGGGCUACACACGUGCUACAAUGGUAUCUACAACAGGAAGCAAGACUGCGAAGUUAAGCAAAUCCCUAAAAGAUACCUCAGUUCGGAUUGCACUCUGCAACUCGAGUGCAUGAAGCUGGAAUUACUAGUAAUCGUGGAUCAGCGUGCCACGGUGAAUGCGUUCCCGGGUCU
rnacentral:rRNA from 1 species